rnacentral:rRNA from 1 species
GACGAACGCUGGCGGCGUGCUUAACACAUGCAAGUCGAACGGAAAGGCCUGCUUUCCCUUGUGGAUUGCGGGUACUCGAGUGGCGAACGGGUGAGUAACACGUGAGUGAUCUGCCCCCAACUUGGGUAUAAGCCUGGGAAACUGGGUCUAAUUCCCGAUAGGACUGCAGGGUGGUGCCUGUGGUGGAAAACGAUUUUCUAGUGGUUGGGGAUGAGCUCGCGGCCUAUCAGCUUGUUGGUGGGGUAAUGGCCUACCAGGGCGGCGACGGGUAGCCGGCCUGAGAGGGUGGACGGCCACAUUGGGACUGAGAGACGGCCCAGACUCCUACGGGAGGCAGCAGUGGGGAAUAUUGCACAAUGGGCGGAAGCCUGAUGCAGCGACGCCGCGUGGGGGAUGACGGCCUUCGGGUUGUAAACUCCUUUCGACCGCGAGGAAGCCACCUGGUUGGAAGGGUGGUGACGGUAGUGGUAGAAGAAGCACCGGCUAACUACGUG